rfam:Felis catus isolate Cinnamon breed Abyssinian chromosome B1, whole genome shotgun sequence.
GCCUGGGUGGCUCAGUCAGUUGAGCGUCCGACUUCAGCUCAGGUCAUGAUCUCACGGUUCGUGGGUUCGAACCCCGCAUCAGGCU